UCUUUGGCAAUGGAUGAAAGUCUGACAGAGCAACGGCGCGUGAAAGAAGAAGGUCUUCGAAUUAUAAAAUUUUGUUGUCAGGGAAGAACACUCGGGAUAGGACCCUGCCUUGACGGUACCUAACGAGAAAGCCCCGGCUAACUACGUGCCAGCAGCCGCGGUAAUACGUAGGGGGCGAGCGUUGUCCGGAAUCAUUGGGCGUAAAGCGCGCGCAGGCGGUUUUUUAAGUCUGAUGUGAAAGCCCACGGCUCAACCGUGGAGGGUCAUUGGAAACUGGGGGACUUGAGUGCAGGAGAGGAGAGUGGAAUUCCUGGUGUAGCGGUGAAAUGCGUAGAGAUCAGGAGGAACACCGAUGGCGAAGGCAGCUCUCUGGCCUGUAACUGACGCUGAGGCGCGAAAGCGUGGGGAGCAAACAGGAUUAGAUACCCUGGUAGUCCACGCCGUAAACGAUNUNUGCUAGGUGUUAGGGGUUUACACACCCUUAGUGCCGAAGUCUAACACAUAAGCACUCCGCCUGG
rnacentral:rRNA from 1 species